ensembl:lncRNA
AGCACAAAGAAAGGAUUAGACCUUGUGAGUGUGACAGAAAGAAAACAAUAGUCAUGUUAGCUAAGAUGCAGAACUUAUUAUGAAGUUAGCAUGCCAGUGUAGCAAACUCAACUGAACAAAGUUGACUUGCUGGUUACUGGCUAUAUUGCCAUACUAGCUACUAGUAUCUAGUGGAAGUAAGUUACUCGGAAGCUGCCCGGCGAGAGCUACCUGCUGCAGAAAAGUCAGGUUUCUCCAUUACGUUGUGUAGAUAACUUCUGUCGGCUGAUGGUGUAUAUUGACUAUAAACAGCAGUUACUGUAAAUGGUUACCUAUCUGGCACUUUGCAUAGCUAACUUGGCUAUUGCUGACACAUACAACAAUAUCCAAUUAAGCUAUAGUGUGUGUGUGUUCUGAAUGUUCCCGCAGGAGAAAAGCACAGUAUGGCAUCUCAGCUGAUCAUCAUGAACUUCAUGUAGUUACAGUACAUCAACCAAUACAGAUGAUUGUGAACGGCAUCUCAGAACGCACAACUCGUCUGUCCUUAUUACGGAUAGGCUAUUGCAGCAGAUAACCACACCGAUAUCCACUCCAGUCAGCUAAAAACAAGAAUAACCGGCUCCAGUGGGCACGCCAUCACCUGGACAAUUGAGGAGUGGAAAAACAUAGCCUGAUCUGAUGAAUCCUGGUUCCUGUUGCGUCAUGCUGACAGUUGAGUCAGGAUUUGGUGUAGGAAGCAUAAGUCCAUGGCCCCAUAAUGCCAAUUGAGCAACGCUUCCAUGCCCCAAAGAAUUCAGGCUGUUCUUGAGGCAAAGGAAUGUCCGACCUGGUACUAGAUGGGUGUACCUAAUAAACUGACGACUGAGUGUAUAUUUCUAUUUUAUGCAGAACUGGGAGGAUGUAAAAAGGGGAUGAGAUUACAUUAAAACAUUAUUAGGUCUAUAUUCUAAAAUGCAAUGGUAGGUAGUUGACUGAACUUUAUAAACAAAUGUGAAUAUUCAUCAUUUAUUAUUAUUAGAAUUCCAAUUAUUAUUAACAAUCAAACAAUGUUUCCCAUUUUAAAGUCAAUUAUGAGCAGGUGACCUAAUAACAUAAUACCCUCACAUCUGGCCUAUGCCUAUAUCUCUUUCAUAUCUCUUUCACACUCUAUGACACAUGCAUGCAAAGAAGACAGACUCACUCACCAAAGCUCUAAUUUUCUCCCAUUGGCACACACACUCUGCCAGCCAGUCAAGCGGAUCUCUCUCUCGACGGGCACAGUAAUAGUUCAAAAAUGGGCCCGGAAUACAGCAGUUCUCAAUACUGCCUAUAACGCUUAAUGUGCUGUUACUGUAAUAUCUGCAUAUACAGUUCCUUCAGAAAGUAUUCACACCCCUUGACUAUUCUCCAUUUUGUUGUGUUACAGCCUUAAUUCAAAAUGGAUUAAAUAUAUAUUUAUUCUCACCCAUCUACACACAAUACCCCAUAAUGACAAAGUGAAAACACUUUUCUUGUGCAAAUGUAUUGAAAAUGAAAUUUAAAAAUAUCUAAUUUACAUACAGUACCAGUCAAAAGUUUGGACACACAUACUCAUUCAUGGGUUUUUCUUAAUUUGUACGAUUUUCUACAUUGUAGAAUAGUACUGUAGUGAAGACAUCAACAUUAUGAAAUAACACAUAUGGAAUCAUGUAGUAACCAAAAAAGUGUUAAACUAAUCUAAAUAUAUUUUAUAUUUUAUGUUAUUUUAAGUAGCCACCCUUUGCCUUGAUUAUAGCUCUGCACACUCUUGGCAUUCUCUCAAACAGCUUCACCUGGAAUGCUUUUCCAAUGGUCUUGAAGCAUUUCCCAUAUAUGCUGAGCACUUGUUGGCUGCUUUUCCUUCACUCGGUCCAACUCAUCCCAAACCAUCUCAACUGGGUUGAAGUCGGGUGAUUGUGGAGGCCGGGUCAUCUGAUGCAGGUGUGUUGGGUCAGUGUCUGUUGAAAAACAAAUGAUCUUACCACUAAGCACAAACCAGAUAGCAUGGCGUAUCGCUGCAAAAUGCUGUGGUAGCCAUGCUGGUUAAGUGUGCCUUAAAUUCGGAAUAAAUCCCUGACAGUGUCACCAGCAAUGCACCAUCACAACUCCUCCUCCAUGCGUCACGGUGGAAACCACACAUGCGGAGAUCAUCCGUUCACCUACUCUGCGUCUCAGAAAGACACAGUGGUUGGAACCAAAAAUCUCAAAUUUGGAUUCAUCAGCCCAAAGGACAGAUUUUCACCUUUCUAAUUUCUGAAACCCUCAGAUGUUUCCCAAUGACACAAAAUGUAAUUUGAAUUUGAGUAGGCCAUACCCCCACAUGAAGCAGAAUUAAUCAUUUGAAUUUGUAGAAUUAAUUAAUUGAAUUUCUGGAAUUAGUAUAAUUAAAUUACAUUCAAAUGGUUUAUGUAUUCUUCACAUCAUGUAUGGUUACCAAGUACCAUGUAGCAUAAGGUUGAAACAUUUCAUUUUUAAAACUCAUUCUCCUAAAAAAAAAAAUAAGUCAUUACAGUGGCCUGGAAAUAUUCUAAGACCAUGUUCUGGGUUGUCUAUAAUAAUGAAUCAUUCCCGUAAUGCUUUUACAUAUCAGAAAAAAAUAAUUUCCCAGAAUGCAUUAGAUCAAACACUGCAGUAUGGAAGGGAACGACGUUAACAUCUCAAGCCAAAGAAAAAUAUUGUUUGACGUCUUUGAGUUCUAAUCAAACUAAUAUUUGAAAUGGUAUAUGUAUUCUUUGCAUUAAUAUGUGGCA